AGGAGGAGGAGGAGAGGACAGGAGAGGAGAGAGACUGCUCCAGUAAGCAUUAUCCCUCUAUGGUUUCUGUUUCAUUUCCUGCUUGAGGUCCUGCUCUGACUUCUCUCAACCACAGACUGUGACCUGGAAGGCCUACAGGACAUCCCUCAUCAGACUGAUGAACAUAUGAAACAAAGAAACCGUGAUAGCAUGCACAAGAAAGACCUACGUAAUUUCAAGUCAGACAAAAUCCUGAUGAACAUUAACAAGGAAGCAAACAAAUAGAGACAAGACAAAACCUCCAAAUACUUGGGCUACAUCUGGAGGGGUAAGAAUUUGAAGCAUCUGUACAGAGAGAAGGACUGUGCCGAGUGGGGCAUCAAGGUCUCCAUGUUUCAUGAUUGCUCUCACGUGGGGAUGCCACAGACCUCACAGCGGUAGCAGUGCACAUGGAAAUCACGAUCCAGAGCCACGAUGCGGACGGUCUCCUCCUGGCCUGGGGCAGGCAUGAUAGGCUCC